rnacentral:rRNA from 1 species
UACGUAGGGUGCGAGCGUUGUCCGGAAUUAUUGGGCGUAAAGAGCUCGUAGGCGGUCUGUCGCGUCAAUCGUGAAAACUUGGGGCUUAACCCUGAGCUUGCGGUCGAUACGGGCAUGACUGGAGUUCGGCAGGGGAGACUGGAAUUCCUGGUGUAGCGGUGAAAUGCGCAGAUAUCAGGAGGAACACCGGUGGCGAAGGCGGUCUCUGGCAGUGAACUGACGCUGGAGGAGCGAAAGCGUGGGAGCAAACAGG